GCCCUGUGAGGGGUGGAGCUGACCGGUACUAAUAGGCCGAGGGCUUGUCCGC
rnacentral:rRNA from 1 species